rnacentral:rRNA from 1 species
AUGGGGAGAGAAGGGAGGCAAAGCCCAGAAAAUUUGCAAGGUGCAUCUGGCCUAGAAAAAGGUGCAGAAAGGAGUUCACCAUCACGUGAAGGAUCAGAUGAUGGGAACAACCCAGAGAAAGGAGACUGGCAGCAACGAUGCAGCCCAGCAAGCGGCAGGUUUGUAAGCCUAGUAAAAGAAGCAAAAACGCCAGUAAGCGGGAAUUUGGCAAUUCCAGAAGCAAGUGUUUCUUUUCCAAUAGCGUACGGACGAAGCUUGUUAGAUCUCUCUCCAGCGGAAGCGUUUCAAAUAAAUUCAGUGACGAUGAAGAGUAAAGGGCAACGACGUUUGGACAUCGAUGAACCAGAAAUUUUUGAAGAUGCAAAGAUGGAAGAGUGUUGGCGUCGUGCUAUGGAUGAAGAGUUGGGUUCGAUCCGAGACAACGAUACGUGGGAGCUCAUGGAUCUUCCCAACGGCAUAAUGUCAUAG